AAAGUCCUACUUAACAAACCUAAUCUCCGUUUAUGACAAGGUCACUCAUCUAGUUGACCAAGGGAGGCCAGUUGAUUGAGCAAAGCUUCAAUUAAAUU